rnacentral:rRNA from 1 species
GAGUCUCCUGAAGGAACGUUGAAGACGACGACGUUGAUAGGCCGGGUGUGUAAGCGCAGCGAUGCGUUGAGCUAACCGGUACUAAUGAACUGUGAGGCUUAACCUUACAACGCCGAAG